CCCAGGAGUUCCUCUGUGAUGGACAACCAAGCAUCACACGACAACAAGCAAAGUGGGGCUCCGAGGAGUUCCUCUGAGAUGGACAACCAAGCAUCAUGCGGCAUCAAGCAAAGUGGGGCGCUGAGCAACAUAGAUGACCGUAGUUGGAUGUACAAAGAGAGAAAAGGAAGGUUGAUCACUCAAGAUUGGCGAAAUGGGUUAGAUAAAUUUCUGGAUCAUGCGUUCUCAAUGUCCGGUGCUUCUGUUGAUGGAGAAGCUUGGAAGGAGUUCGACAAAGAAUAUGAAGAGUUUUCUAAAGAUGUCAGGAAUGUAAGGCUAUGUCUAGCAACCGAUGGCUUCACACCUUUUGGUAUUACAGCAGCCUCAUGCUCUUGUUGGCCGGUAUUUGUUGUACCUUAUAAUCUCCCACCAGAAAUGUGCAUAAAGCAAAGCAACCUGAUACUUGCACUAGUUAUUCCUGGUCCAGAUCAUCCACAGGCUAGAGGAAAUUGAUUGACCCCCUUCUGCACUCAAUGGGAAAAGCACCCGUACACUGCUCGUGAUCCAUCAACAGUGCAAAGUGCAUUACUACGCCAGUGUUAUCCAGAGCCAAUUGGUCCCGAUGAUGAUAAGAAACCGGUGUUGUCUUGGGACGACUACAAGCGCCCCCCUAGUGAAGGAGCAAGAACAGCAACAUCUAAAGUUGUUGAAAAUUUCUGGGUAAUUACAUCUAUAUGUAUGUAUGGAUUUUAUAGGAGCUUUACGAAUUCUCAAACAUAAAUAAAAUUACUGUACUAGUUCAGAAGCCAAAUUUCUAUAUAGAAUAUCAUUGUUCAAGAUUAUUGCCCUCUCGGCUGUGGGGUUUCUGAAACUGUAGACUAUCUAGUUAACUUUAGUUCUACAGUUCUUUGUUGUCC